rnacentral:lncRNA from 13 species
GAGGAGCUAGAGGACAUGCUCAUUAUAAUGACUGGAAUGGAGUCUAACAUGGUUUGUGUUUGACCAUCUAUUCCAUUUCAGCCAUUACAAUGAGCCCGUCCUCCUGUAGCUCCUCACACCAGCCUCCUCUGGACCAUAGACAUUUCUAUAGAGGAAUGAGAAAUGCACGCACAAAGUGAUGUGCUGUACUAAAUUGUGCCACUCUGUUUCAGGAAGUGUCCAAAUGCCUACCACUUCCCCAAUCAAUGAUUACCUCACCUGUUCACUAUUCUCAUGUUGAUAGCUCUCCAUUUAGCCACCAAAGGAAACAAAUCUUCAACAUGCAGUCAUUUACAUACAAAUCUAAUCUCUCACAUUUCAGUAAUUUCCCUUGAAGAUUUGGAGCAACAUGUAAUCUGGAUGAAAAGGGGACAGUUGUCAAUGUAUUGGAAGUGUGCUUGGACUGAGUGGCACAUCGACAAGACCGAGAGGCCGGACACACGCAGAGGGACAGACGCAAGCUUUUUGUCUUCCUGGAGACGUCCUUCGACACCAGGUUUAGAAUGCAAGGUGUACGUGGCGACCUUCGUGUCAAACAUUAGCCUCGACCACAAACAAGGUCCGGCAGCUAUCUUUUCUUUCUCUAGCAGUGUUUUGUUCUAGUUCUGUUCAGAGUGAUGAUCUGGCCACCAUUUGUAACUUUACGACUCUGUAUUAAACACUGCGGCAAAAGCCUGCUUCAUUAAGAAUCACUUGAAAAUAAGGUCUGAUGCAUAAAAGCCUGACAGACUUUUAUGCGCUCAUUAAUAAACAUUUAUGACUUAAUUCUAAUGUGACUGACAGCCUAUUUAUAUGUAAUCGUUGCUCAUGCAUAAAAGUCCUUUGAGUUCAUCAUAGUGGAAUGCGCUGUGAAAAGUAACUGCCUAAUUCAUUAAAGUAAUUGAGUAGUGGCUACUCAAACAUCUCCAACGGUCAGGUGAACUCAAACCAUAAAAGUGGUACUAACUAUCUCAAUAAGAUCUCUUAUCGCUUAACGUUUUUGAGAACUGUGAACAAGUUUUAAGUUCUUGAGUAAACUUUAUUUAUUUGUUCUGCAAAUCUAAAGUUGAGUUAUUACAAGUUAUGAUUAUUUAAUAUUUUAAAGUCAAUCUAGCAUUUAUUAAAUAAGUUGUUCUUACUUGAUUUUAUCACAUUUUUACGUCUUUACGUAAAAUAAAGUAGUAGUCAGACACUGAUAUUUGAGUAAAAAACACUAUCUGUCUGGUGCUGAGAUAGAAUUCUAAUGUUUUUGCAAGUUCUGAAUACUUAACAGUGUCAUGUGGGUCUGUUUUUUAGAGGAUUGUGGGUAAUUCAACAUUUUUAGACUAUGAUACUUUCACACAAUGUUGUAUGCAUAUGUGAAGUAUAUUUCUAAAAUAGUAUUAAGCGGUUUGUUGUGAAAUUGACGUUCAAUAAAGAGACCAGCCAUUCCCACCAUCAACAAGGUCAUGUGCACCACUCUUAAUGACUGUGGCUAAUGCAGCAUCCUGUAAUGCUUACAGUCAGUGGUGAUUGGCAUGCUUACAGUCAGUGGUGAUUGGCGUGCUUACAGUCAGUGGUGAUUGGCAUGCUUACAGUCAGUGGUGAUUGGCAUGCUUACAGUCAGUGGUGAUUGGCAUGCUUACAGUCAGUGGUGAUUGGCAUGCUUACAGUCAGUGGUGAUUGGCAUGCUUACAGUCAGUGGUGAUUGGCAUGCUUACAGUCAGUGGUGAUUGGCAUGCUUACAGUCAGUGGUGAUUGGCAUGCUUACAGUCAGUGGCGUGCAUGUGGGAUACAUGCCACCACACAACACUAAACAAUACAUUCAUUGCACUAUACCACUGUUACACCUGGCCAUCAGUGGAACCUUUUCUGGCAGUGAAACAGUUAAUUCAGCCUCAUUUACUGCCUUUAAAAAAAUCAUAGCUGAUAUGGCUGACUUGCUAAAACAAAUGUGGUUUCUAC